rnacentral:rRNA from 1 species
UACGUAGGGCGCAAGCGUUAUCCGGAAUUAUUGGGCGUAAAGAGCUCGUAGGCGGUUUGUCGCGUCUGCCGUGAAAGUCCGGGGCUCAACUCCGGAUCUGCGGUGGGUACGGGCAGACUAGAGUGAUGUAGGGGAGACUGGAAUUCCUGGUGUAGCGGUGAAAUGCGCAGAUAUCAGGAGGAACACCGAUGGCGAAGGCAGGUCUCUGGCAUUACCUGACGCUGAGGAGCGAAAGUGUGGGGAGCGAACAGG